rnacentral:rRNA from 1 species
GAGCUUAACACAUGCAAGUCGAGCGAAGCACUUAAGUGGAUCUCUUCGGAUUGAAACUUAUUUGACUGAGCGGCGGACGGGUGAGUAACGCGUGGGUAACCUGCCUCAUACAGGGGGAUAACAGUUAGAAAUGGCUGCUAAUACCGCAUAAGCGCACAAGACCGCAUGGGCUGGUGUGAAAAACUCCGGAGGUAUGAGAUGGACCCGCGUCUGAUUAGCUAGUUAGAGGGGCAACGGCCCACCAAAGCAACGAUCAGUAGCCGGCCUGAGAGGGUGAACGGCCACAUUGGGACUGAGACACGGCCCAGACUCUUACGGGAGGCAGCAGUGGGGAAUAUUGCACAAUGGGGGAAACCCCGAUGCAGCGACGCCGAAAAAAGGAAGAAGUAUCUCGGUAUGUAAACUUCUAUCAGCAGGGAAGAAAAUGACGGUACCUGACUAAGAAGCCCCGGCUAACUACGUGCCAGCAGCCGCGGUAAUACGUAGGGGGCAAGCGUUAUCCGGAUUUACUGGGUGUAAAGGGAGCGUAGACGGAAGAGCAAGUCUGAUGUGAAAGGCUGGGGCUUAACCCCAGGACUGCAUUGGAAACUGUUUUUCUAGAGUGCCGGAGAGGUAAGCGGAAUUCCUAGUGUAGCGGUGAAAUGCGUAGAUAUUAGGAGGAACACCAGUGGCGAAGGCGGCUUACUGGACGGUAACUGACGUUGAGGCUCGAAAGCGUGGGGAGCAAA